GCAGCCAGUAGGUGAGUGAACGCUGUUAUAAAUCAGUGUAGCCGCGGUCUCGUUUAGUUGUUUGCACGUUACACAGCAUGGUUAACAGAUAUGUUGGGAUGUGUUGGCUAUUGAUAUCAAACUAAUAAGCAGGGCAGUGGAGUGUUUAAUGGCGUUAGUCACAAUUAAUUUCGCCCAACAAUAGGCGAAUGUAUAGUUGUUGUUGUUGUUACUUUGGUUCUUCUAUGAAACUCCAUCGUGGCCAUUGCUGUUACAAUUUCAACAGAUUAUCAUCGUUUCACUUUUCUUCGUCUUCGUGACCUAGUUUUCACUGAUAGCGAAAAUGUUCAAGACUCGUCGCGACCGAGCAGCGAACUAUACGAACUUUGAGCGGGAAACUCUGAUUCGAUUAGUCGAUGAAUACAAAGACAUCGUCGAAGACAAACGAAUAGACACUCGAUCUGCUAAUGUGAAAAAGGCAGUAUGGGCGAAAAUUAUGGAGAGAUAUAACAGUGCGAAAUAUACGAGCGAACGAACCAGCCACCAACUUAAAAUAUGUUGGAAACAUGUGAAAGCCAGAGCCAAGAAAGCAGCCUGCAAGGUCAAGGACGAUGGAUAUAAUGAACCAUUUGGGCAAAACCAGGAUCCCAACAGUUUUGAUGAAGAUCAGACUGUUUUAGCAAUAUUAGCUGAGUGUGAAAAGAAUAAGUUAACCGAUUUGGCAUACGAAGAUGAUGUACCGGUUUCAUUCAACAAUUACGAUGCCAGUUUGACUGUUGAUGAAAGAAGUGCUGAUGGAAACCAAGAAUAUGUCCAGUCAGACGCCAAUUACGUAAUACCAGACGAGAGUCAACAAAGUGUAUCCGAAGUUUCGUACGAAAUCCAGUCUUCAAAGAAAAGAAAACAAGAUCCCUCACCGGUUGGCGAUUCCAGGAAACUCCGAAAUUGUGAAAAUAAAAUUACAAAUUCGACAGAUGCAGAAGACAAUGAACAGAGUAGCACGUGCGACACUUCCCUGCAUUUUUAUUCUGCUGAUAGUGAUGAAGAUUCCAAAAAAUACAGAUCGGCCAAUUAUACGAAUUCUGAGCGCGAAACUCUCAUUCGUUUGAUUGACGAAUAUAAAAACAUCGUCGAAAACAAAAAAACAGACACACAAUCAGUUGCAGAAAAGAAAGCAACUUGGGCGAAAAUAAACGAAAGCUAUAACAAUGCAAAAUAUACGAGCGAACGAACCAUCCAGCAGCUUAAAGUCUGCUGGAAACAUGUGAAAACUCGAGCAAAAAAAGCGGCCAUUAAGGUCAAGGAAGAAGGUUACAAUGAGCUGUUAAAGCCACGGUGCAAUUUGAGCAGUUUUGAUGAAGAUCAAGCAGUGUUAGCCAUAUUAGCUGAGUGUCAUGAAAAUAAGCACAAUGAUUUGGUAUACGAGGAUGACAUUUCUGUUCCAUUUAACGCAGAUGAAACCAGAAUCAAAACUGAAAACACAAACGACAGCAGUGAAUAUGGCCAAUCAUAUUCAACCCACGUGCUACCACAUGAAGUUCAACAAUCAAGCAUCUCCAAAGUUUCGUACAAAUUUCAUUCCGCAAAGAAAAUGCCUCAAAUCGUUACACCGAAUGACGAUUCCAGAAGAAUACGUCAUUUUGAAAAUAGUGGUACAAAUUCUACAACAGACAAUAUUUCCCAGAAUUCCUCGGGCGAGACCGACUUCCGGUACCAUCCUUCAAUAAAAGAGUACCAGACUUCUGAAGACGAUGAAGAUUCAAAAACAAUCCGACAUUAUAGAAAAAAGGAACAUCGCUUAAAAAUGAAAAAUCUGAAAAGACAGCGUGAAAUGAUGGAAGAGGAGCAUGCCUUAAAAAUAGAACUUUUGAAAAUUCAAAUUCUCACUCAAGCCCCAAUUAUUAAAUCUACAAACACAGAAGUAAAUUCAAAUUUUUGCAGUUCAUCUUCGUGAUGAGUAAAAAUACGAAAUGAAAAACGUGGGAUUUGUAUUCAGAUUUCAAUUUGUAGGUAAACUAGCAUUGAAAAGUAUAACCCUAGUCGAACUGCGAUGGUUUUACAGUGUAUGCUUAUUUUUGUGAUUCCAUUCUAAACAAACUGACUGAUAUUUCAGAUGCCCGAUCGCGAAAAACCUACAAGAUGUUUAAAAAACAUUUAAUAGGGCGAUAACUCUAAAAAUCAAAAUCCGUAUAUACGACUUGCCGACUGUAGACCAAAUAUGUUUGAAUAUUUUUCAGUGGCCUUAAAAGAACAAUAUAUCAGACUAAUGUCAAUGGAGUGUGGUUUAAUGUUAAUGUCUUGUUCAACGGCUAUUUGAAGACAAUGAAACUAAAUAUACUUUCAAACUAUGCUAUAAAAGUACUAUAAAAAGUACGGUCUUAGUAAAAAAAACAUACUGGUCCAAGUUCUAUCCAACAACGACUUCUCGAUCUGAACAAUUUUAGAUCAAUAUAAUUUUGUUAAGUUCAAGACAAUGUCUGGUCAUGGAGAUGAGGAGUGCAUGAUUGCCGCGGAUCUUACCAUGUAUGGAAACCCAUUGCGGCAUCUAAUACAACCUAAACCAGUUCAACCGGAAACUACGAAAGGUAGUGAAAAGGAUGGACCGGACUCUGACAAUUUGAAAAGUGAUAUAGUUGCUGCCGAUUUGGUUAAAUAUGCCAGUCCUUUGGACGAUCGCUUAAAAUCACAAAAGUAGACCUUUCAAAAUUAGUUUUGAGUUUUAUUUUUUUUCUGUAUGCGUUUUCUUUCUAUCGUAGCACUUUUGCGCAUCUAAUACGUUUAGAAGAAGGGCGCUGAAGUGAGCGAGUCUCUUGCCAUGGAAAGAACCGCAGAUUGUAAAUGCCAGGGAUUUUAUUUCUAUAAUAUGUGCAAACCGAUUAAAAUGACCGAUCGAGAUAUUUAUUUGUCUGUCAACUUUAAUGCCACACAACAAGUAUAUAUUUUUUACAAUUGAAAUUAUGAUAAAACGAAUACACACUCUGGCACUUCUAGUGGAUGCAAAUAAUAACGUCUGUCCAACAAAAUAUUAUGCAACAUCAUUCCAUACUACGUGGGGAUUGGUCCAGUACUUCUACUUAGAGCAAGUAGAGAGGUCUUAAGACUCAAGCUAAUCUGUUUGUACAGACUGAAAAUGGCUAUAUUAUUAUUAAUACUAUUAUGUAUUUGCUUAGAGUUGAGUUUCUGCAUUAUAACCGAAUUCAGUAACCAUUUUGACUGUAUAAAAGUUAUAUAAUUAAACAAAACAUGGAUGUUAGAUUACUAUUACUCUGUAUAGCUGUAUAUGAAGCCAUUAUUAAUAAACGGAAUUUCGAUCUACAGGACUGAA